rnacentral:lncRNA from 1 species
AGUUAAAUAAAGGUAAAAAAACAACAUCUAGCUGUCACUGUUUAGACACUAACUCAGCAUAAAAAAUGGCCACUGCUCAUUCAGUUGUUUUCCUUAUUUUUUUCUCAAGAGAUUGUCAUGCUGUUUGUUUCGAUUGCCUUUCUCUAAAUGUCAUCCUGAAAGGUUGCAUCUGAACCUCCUAGCCAGUGGCACAUAAGGAUUUUCCCCAGAUAAAAAAGUAAGCCUGUCCCUCAAGACAAAUUAUAAUGAUUUGGUCUGUUAGUCUUCUUUCUCUUUCUCCCUGUUAUGUUGCUUCCAUUCCCAAGGACUAGGGGGCAAGAACCAGCCACUUGUGGUGUGGAGGUGGUGUGGUUUGUGUGUGUGGGUUUUAGCUUGGCACGUGUGUGUGUGUGUGUGUGUGUGUGUGUAUAAGUGUGUGUGUGCUUGUGUGUGUUUUUAAUUCUGACUCUUCUCCAUCUGUGGGUUUUCUCCUCUGUUCUCUCCUGCACCAUGCUCCCAUUCCCAAGCGUCAGCCCGGAGAGAUUACAGACCGAAGGGUACUCAACAUGUUUGGUCCUAUGGGCCAGGCAGGAUGCUACAUCCUGGACACCCUCAAAAUGGGUGCGGUCCAAGAGAAGUUCUAUAAGAAGGGGGGACACUGGGACGUGUGGUCAAUGUGUGGGGAUGCAGGGUGGUCAUCUGUGACUGUGACAACUUCAGCAAAGCGUUCUACUGCUCCAAAUACGGCGUUGGUGCUUGCUGGGGGGUCUGCAGUGUGGUCUGUCAGAACACGAGGAGAUGAUGUCGAGUCGUAGUUUCUGUGAGCGCCAGCUGCCCGAGGCGGAGGUUGGCCUCACGCUGGCUGUGGCUCAGGACCACCUCCGCAAGAAAGACUUUGAGAGAUUCUCCGACAUGACCCGAUCCUUCACACACAAGGACCAACACAGUUUGACAUGGACUGGAGGUGAAGAGCAUUAACUACUCUGUCCUCCUGGAAGAUAUGUUCGGUAGUGUCCAGACCAACAUCGACCCAACACUCUAACCGGCCCAACACAGGCAACACAGAGACAAAGAUAUGGAGAAGAAACCACCAGAUAGAUCAUCAGCCUAUGAAAUCAAUCACCUCACUGCUCGCUGUAUAUAUUAUCCUCUUUCAAUAAAAGACAUGGAUUAUGGCC